ensembl:lncRNA CARMN cardiac mesoderm enhancer-associated non-coding RNA
AAGGCAGAGUGGCCUCUGUGGCCAGGGAGCCGCAGGCAAGGGACUAAGGGGAGGGGGGCUCAGUGCCAGCUGCUUAAAAAUGCCCCUGUGGCAGCGAGGGGCACCAGAGGCUGGGUCUAAUUAGUUGAGAAGCAGUGACACCCCCAACCACUCCCCAAACAGGCUGGCUCCCGUCUCCAGGCCCCAAGGAGCCACACCUGGACCAGACCCCAGGAAAGACAUGUGGUGGAAACCCUACGGCCCUGGAGCCCAAGGAGAGCAACGGCUGUAACAAGUGCACAGGCAAGGGCGCUAGCUGGUGGGAGCCACCCCGCCAUGCUGAUGUCAGAGAAGCAAGAACUCUGGAGAAGCAGCCUCCUGGGACCAGAGGAGGGCCAGCAGCAGGCAGCCCGGAGACAGAACUCUCACCCACGCCUCUCCAAGCCUCCCAACAGAAGACAGAGGUCCCCCACAGCCAGAGACAUUUCCUGAAGACAUGGGGAACACAGAGGCAGAAACAGCCCAUCCACCCAGGAGCUGUCCCCCACACUGCCGGGAGCCGGCACCCAGAGCCGCCAGACACAAAGGAACAGAACGAGGCACCAACAGCAAGGGGCAAGCAGAUUCAAGGGCCACAGAGGAGAUGGAGGCAAACACCUUCCCCUGGUCAGAGGCUGUGCCUCAGCCCUUCUCCCUGCAUCAGUUUCUCCUUCAGAAGCAUGGGACUACCUCCCAUCUAGUUCUCGUUUCUAAACCUAGGGGAGAUGCUAUCUUUGCUGCAAUAAUCUUAGCCUACAUCUUGGAAUGGAAAUGGCCUUGGUGGAAAUGGUCUUCAACUCCUCUGGUCCAAGCUCAGGCCCUGUGACCCUGGAACAAUCCCCUUCCUGGUCCUCCAUGUAGGAGCAAUAACAUUCCCUUGCCAGCAGCACCAGCCAUUCUGAUGAUUAAAUGGUAUCGGACUCUGUUUUCCAAACUCAGUCAUUCAGAUGCCCCCUAUUUUAUUUCUUCCAUGUCUGCAAAUGAUUAUAAUAUUUUUAAAUGUAGGAUGAGUCCUUUUUAUUACACAUAGAAAUAGCUACUGUAAAUAGCAAACUCUAACACUGUGCCUAAUUAGGAAAUAAAGGUAACCAUAAAUACAGUAAAAAUGAAACAA